UUUGGAGCCAAAGUGGCAUAUUUCUGAACAAACCUUCAGAUUUGUGUCUCAAAUACUCCAAUAAAAACUAGAUAGACGAACGGCAUCCUGAAUAAUCCCUCAUAUUAUAACAGACGACUUGUGUUCGUGUACAAU
rnacentral:snoRNA from 1 species